ensembl:lncRNA
GUGUUAACUGUUCUGGGCUUGGGGGAAUAAUCAAGUUCUCCAGCUCUCUGAGUGUGGUGCUUGGUUUCUUGAUGGUCUGGCUUCUGCAACAGGUGGAGUAAUGGUCAAGUCUCCAGCUCUGCAAGCACAAGAUGACAAAUCCCUUGAGGACAUAAACUGUUCUUGGUCACCGAGACCCUGGCACAUAACAGUUGCUGCAUGUGAUGGUUAAUUUUACGUGUCAGCUUGACUAGGCUAAGGGAUACCCAGAUAGCUGGAGGCCCUUGCUGUUUUGUGUAUCCUUUAAAUUUUGGACAUUCCACAUAUUGCGUAACUAAGAGAAGGAGAAAUAUCAUGUGACAUCCCCUACAUGUGAAAUCUAAAAAGAAAUGAUACAAAUGAACUUACUUACAAAACAGAAAGAGACUCACAGACUUAAAGAAUGAACCUAUGGUUGCCAAGGGAAAUGGAUAGUUUCGAAUGGACAGGUACACACUGCUAUAUUCAAAAUGGAUAACCAACAAGGACCUACUGUAUAGCAAAUAAAUAAAUAAAUAAAAUUCACAAAUCAACAUACAUUUUCAUAAAAUGAGAAAUGUAUGCUUAACAUCAUGUAUCAUUCAAGGCCUUGAAAAUAAAAACUAUCAUACCAAAAAAAAGUUUUCUUCAACAUUCUAGAGGGUGUAUAAUGAUAUCACAGUUCUAUGUGGCAUUUCCCUGAUGACCAACUAUGUUGAAACCUUUUCAUGUGUUUAAGGAUCAUUCUGAGAUAGGCUGAACCUGGGACGUGCGACCCUUUGCUGCAAUGCUUAUACCUGGACAAAUAUUUCCUUGAGCAACAAAAUACCUAGAAACCAUAAGGGACUGAAAAUAACUGAAUGCAUGCUCGGUUGCAGUAAAUUAUGGAAAAGAUACAAAAAGACCAAAGAAGCCCAACUGCCACUUCGGAAGAGCCAGGAGCAUAAACAGGAUACUAAGCAUGACCUCAGGAGUACGUCAAGGCUGUAUAUAGUCACCCUGCUUAUUUAAUUUAUAUGCAGAGUACAUCAUGAGAAAUGCUGGGCUGGAGGAAGCACAAGCUGGAAUCAAGAUUGCCAGGAGAAAUGUCAGUAACCUCAGAUAUGCAGAUGACACCCCCCUUAUGGCAGAAAGUG